AGAGUUUGAUCAUGGCUCAGGACGAACGCUGGCGGCGUGCCUAAUACAUGCAAGUCGAGCGGGGUUGUCGGAGUGGAGUCCUUCGGGAUGAAGCACCGCCAACCUAGCGGCGGACGGGUGAGUAACGCGUGGGUAACCUGCCCUAAAGCCCGGGAUAACACCGGGAAACUGGUGCUAACACCGGAUACCUUCCGAAGAGGGCAUCCUUUUUGGAAGAAAGGUUAACGCUUUAGGAUGGGCCCGCGUCCCAUUAGCUAGUUGGUGAGGUAACGGCUCACCAAGGCAGUGAUGGGUAGCCGGCCUGAGAGGGUGGACGGCCACACUGGGACUGAGACACGGCCCAGACUCCUACGGGAGGCAGCAGUAGGGAAUAUUGCGCAAUGGGCGAAAGCCUGACGCAGCGACGCCGCGUGGGUGAUGAAGGCCUUCGGGUUGUAAAACCCUGUCCUUGGGGAAGAAGGAAGUGACGGUACCCAAGGAGGAAGCCCCGGCUAACUACGUGCCAGCAGCCGCGGUAAU
rnacentral:rRNA from 1 species